GUGAGCAUCUUUUAUAUAAGACCUUCUCUGAUACAACCAAUCUGACAGCCACUCUGGGGCCAGGAGGCUCUCGAAUGUGAUGUCUGCUGGCUGCUGCUCGGGAGAAGCACUUUCAUCUUCUCUAAAAUGCCUGCGUACUCAUUCUUGCCGUCAGCCUGCCUCAGUACUACCGAACAUUCUGGAACGCAGCAUCAGAUGAGCUCCGUUCACCCAGGAGAUGCCCAGGCCAGGCUCCGACUAUUUCAAAUGACAGGACUUGCCUCCAGUCCUGGUCCAGUCCCCCGCCUCCAGGAACUUUCCAUUGAUCUUCAGGUCAAGUUUUUCUCCUCCAUCUCCAUGUUCCACAGAGCACUCUGCUCUGCAGUUCUGCCCUCAGUGCUGGAAAUGGGAAGAGGAGGAAAUUCUAGAUCCCUGCUCUUGGAGAUGGACAGUGGAGUUUCCCAGAGGUGAACAUGGACAGACUGAACGCAGAGUGGAUGAUGAGCAAAUCCAGGUGUCUGCUGAGAUGUCAUUUACGAAACAGAUCUAAUGUACAACCUGGCCACUCUUCUCGUGACACGUUUCUGUGUUUAGGAACAUAGAGCUGGGUUUUUCCCCAAAUAAAAACAGAUCACA